GGAGGAGGGAUUAGGAAAGUUCCAUUGACACUAGCCAGCAAACCCUGGCAGUCUGUAGUCAUGGUGACACAAUUCCAAGUGGGUCACAGAACAUCAUUGCUCAAUCUCACUGUUUGAGCAGGAUAGACCACUCCAGCCUUUACUAGAAGACACCAAGUCACUUGUUUAUGAAUAAAUGGGAGUGUAUCAGGGUCGCCAGGCAAAGCCAAGGAGGAGUCUACUGAUUCUGUCAGGAUCCUAUAUCAUGAAUAUAACUGACCUAGUUACUAAUCCAAGCACUGACCUGCCAAGCACUUUAAC
rnacentral:lncRNA from 1 species